rnacentral:tRNA from 1 species
GCCGACGUAGCUCCAAUGGUAGAGCAAUCCACUCGUAAUGGAUAGGUUGCAAGUUCGAUUCUUGUCGUCGGCACCA